rnacentral:misc_RNA from 1 species
ACUUUAUUUAUUUAUUUUUAAAAAUUCAACCUUAAUCCCGAAUAUGCACCAAAAGAAUCUUGUUCAGGAUAUGCUGCUAAAAGUAAUACAAGCAUUACUAUGUCCCGAAUAGGCACCAAAAGAAUAUUGUUCAGGAUAUGCUGCUGAAAGUGUUACAAGCAUUACUAUGUCCUAAUUUCUUAAGUUAUAUUACAGUUAUUGAGUGCUUUCCUGUUUUUGAUUGGACAGUUUUGGCAAAAGAGGACUAAUCUUUUUGCUAGUUGCACAUAUAUAUUCCACUCGUUUAAUGCAGAAGCCUUAGUAUAGCCAGGACUCGGGAGGCAAUAUAGUCAAGUUGAGAUAAAUUUAUAGCAUUCCUAGCAAAAGAUUUCUAUAUUGUUAAGAUGUUUAAUUAAUCCUGCAAAAUGGCUACUGUUUAUA